GAAUUCACUAGUGAUUCAGGCCUAACACAUGCAAGUCGAACGGAGUCCAUCCAGUCGCAAGACUGGUGAAGACUGAGUGGCGAACGGGUGCGUAACACGUGAGAAACCUGUCCCGGUCUCUGGAAUAACAGUCGGAAACGACUGCUAAUACUGGAUGCCGUCGGAGGGCCGCAUGGCCCGCUGACGAAAGGGUUACCGGAUCGGGAGGGUCUCGCGGCCUAUCAGCUUGUUGGUGAGGUAACGGCUCACCAAGGCAUCGACGGGUAGCUGGUCUGAGAGGAUGAUCAGCCACACUGGGACUGAGACACGGCCCAGACUCCUACGGGAGGCAGCAGUGGGGAAUCUUGCACAAUGGGCGAGAGCCUGAUGCAGCAACGCCGCGUGCUUAAAGGAGGCCUUAGGGUUGUAAACCGCUUCAGCAGGGAAGAAACUGACGGACCGCAGAG
rnacentral:rRNA from 1 species